rnacentral:rRNA from 1 species
CCUACGGGUGGCAGCAGUAGGGAAUAUUGCUCAAUGGGGGAAACCCUGAAGCAGCAACGCCGCGUGGAGGAUGAAGGUCUUCGGAUCGUAAACCUCUGUCAGCAGGGAAGAACGGUCACUGUGCUAAUCAGCAGUGAAUUGACGGUACCUGCAAAGGAAGCACCGGCUAACUCCGUGCCAGCAGCCGCGGUAAUACGGAGGGUGCGAGCGUUAAUCGGAAUUACUGGGCGUAAAGCGCUCGUAGGCGGUAUGUCAAGUCAAGGGUGAAAUCCCCGCGCUCAACGUGGGAACUGCCUUUGAAACUGGCAAACUGGAGUGUGUGAGAGGAUAGUGGAAUUCCAGGUGUAGGAGUGAAAUCCGUAGAUAUCUGGAGGAACAUCAGUGGCGAAGGCGACUAUCUGGCACAUAACUGACGCUGAGGAGCGAAAGCGUGGGUAGCAAACAGGAUUAGAUACCCCAGUAGUC